UUUAUGUAUGUAUAUGUAUAUGUAUGUAUGUAUAUGAAUGUCAAACUCCUAAUAUAAGUACAGUCAAUUAUAUACAACAACAUCAAUUCAAUGCUACAACACACACAAUGUCUAUAUACAGUAUAACACAUAACUAGAGCAAGUCUCCAGCCCCAUACUUAAAAUCAUGGAAUGUCCCCAUGUCAUAUCAAGAAAGUAAAGAGCAGAAGAGUAAGAAAGCUUCCCUGAGACUCAAUCAGAGUCUGAUACGGUGCUGGGGUCUACAUGGCACGCUCUCCCCAAAGAAUGGAACCAGGACAUGAACCUUCUCUCAGACCUGGCCUGCCUCUGAGACAUGACAUCCAUGCGCGUGUGUAGGCCAUCCACCGAGGUGCGAAGAUCCGCGACCUCUUCCUCCAUGGAGCUCAGCAUAGGCUGGGUGGUCUGUGAUCUGAAUAGGCCUUCCCCGGUAUGGGGGCGCUGAGAGG
rnacentral:lncRNA from 1 species